CAGGAAAACAUGAAGAAUGGGGAAAGUAGCUGCCACAUGCCAAUGUGAAACUCCGAGGAGUCUAGCCAUUCUGAUCUGGCCUUCCAGGUCAUUAGGAAGCUCUGCCAUCAUGUGAGGAGGGAAAGCCUGCUGUCUGGAGAGCACACUGGUCUCCAGCGUGGGGAGAGAGAGCACUUUCGGGCUUUGCUGAGGAGGGUCUUCAGAAAAAAGAGUACUGCCAACAAGAAGGCCCAAUCAUGAUCCUCCCACAACAAGAGCAGAUUGUGAGCAUGGCAAGCUCUAUGCUGAGCACUGGAAGGACAAAGAGAGAUUGGGCACAGACUUCUCACUGAUCCAGGUGAUGAGGAGCUCACAUCUGAGAGGAUGUGACCAUGGAUGACCCACCAGAAUGUCAUGGGAUCCAGCUACAGCCAAGGAAGCACAGAGCACCGUGGGAGCGAUUUAUUGUGCUUGGGGAUGGGGAAGGGGACAUGGGAGGAGCCAUAUUGAGAAAGUAACAUGGGUACUUGGCUUCACAGAGUGUGGCCGCUUUCAUCAGGAAGCGAUGGUGGGGGAACAGCGUCUCUGGCGGAGGGAAGCAGCAGGUGCAGAGGUGUGCGGAGUCUGUCACAUUCUGGGAACGGAGUAUGGUUGGGUGACAAUGCAAGACAGAGAAAGCAAGGAGGGAAGGAGGGGCCUAGCCUGAGGAAUAAAGAAUAAUAAAAGCAGGAAAACAAUUGCUAA
rnacentral:lncRNA from 1 species